UACGGAGGGGGCUAGCGUUGUUCGGAAUUACUGGGCGUAAAGCGCACGUAAGCGGCUUUGUAAGUUAGAGGUGAAAGCCCAGGGCUUAACCCUGGAAUUGCCUUUAAGACUGCAUCGCUAGAAUCGUGGAGAGGUGAGUGGAAUUCCGAGUGUAGAGGUGAAAUUCGUAGAUAUUCGGAAGAACACCAGUGGCGAAGGCGACUCACUGGACACGUAUUGACGCUGAGGUGCGAAAGCGUGGGGAGCAAACAGG
rnacentral:rRNA from 1 species